UGUUUAUUAAAAACACAGCACUCUGCAAACACGAAAGUGGACGUAUAGGGUGUGAUGCCUGCCCGGUGCUGGAAGGUUAAUUGAUGGUGUAAUCGAAAGAGAAGCUCCUGAUCGAAGCCCCAGUAAACGGCGGCCGUAACUAUAACGGUCCUAAGGUAGCGAAAUUCCUUGUCGGGUAAGUUCCGACCUGCACGAAUGGCAUAAUGAUGGCCAGGCUGUCUCCACCCGAGACUCAGUGAAAUUGAAAUCGCCGUGAAGAUGCGGUGUACCCGCGGCUAGACGGAAAGACCCCGUGAACCUUUACUAUAGCUUGACACUGAACAUUGAAUUUUGAUGUGUAGGAUAGGUGGGAGACUUUGAAGUAGUCACGCCAGUGAUUAUGGAGUCGUCCUUGAAAUACCACCCUUUAACGUUUGAUGUUCUAACGAAGAUUACGAAACGUGGUCUCGGACAGUGUCUGGUGGGUAGUUUGACUGGGGCGGUCUCCUCCCAAAGAGUAACGGAGGAGCACGAAGGUUUGCUAAUCACGGUCGGACAUCGUGAGGUUAGUGCAAUGGUAUAAGCAAGCUUAACUGCGAGACAGACAAGUCGAGCAGGUACGAAAGUAGGUCAUAGUGAUCCGGUGGUUCUGAAUGGAAGGGCCAUCGCUCAACGGAUAAAAGGUACUCCGGGGAUAACAGGCUGAUACCGCCCAAGAGUUCAUAUCGACGGCGGUGUUUGGCACCUCGAUGUCGGCUCAUCACAUCCUGGGGCUGAAGUAGGUCCCAAGGGUAUGGCUGUUCGCCAUUUAAAGUGGUACGCGAGCUGGGUUUAGAACGUCGUGAGACAGUUCGGUCCCUAUCUGCCGUGGGCGUUGGAGAAUUGAUUGGGGCUGCUCCUAGUACGAGAGGACCGGAGUGGACGCACCACUGGUGUUCCGGUUGUGUCGCCAGACGCAUUGCCGGGUAGCUAAGUGCGGAAGAGAUAAGUGCUGAAAGCAUCUAAGCACGAAACUUGCCAAGAGAUGAGUUCUCCCAGAUUACAAAUCUGUAAGGGUUGUUUAAGACUAAGACGUAGAUAGGUCUGGUGUGUAAGCGGUGCGAGCCGUUGAGCUAACAGAUACUAAUUGCCCGAGAGGCUUAACUAU
rnacentral:rRNA from 1 species